UUCUCUUGAAGAAGCAUUUGUGAUCCAAAAUCAACAGGUUGCACUCGACUACGUUGGAAAGCGUGGAGCUGUAACUAGGGAAAAAAGGAUCAAGUAUUUUUUUACAACUUUAUUCUCUUGCAAAAUUUUUCCGUGAAUUUUUUAAAUGCUAAAUGGGAAUCUUCUAUGCAUCCUCAUAGGUAUGCUAAAGAGAUCCUUCAAAAG
rnacentral:misc_RNA from 1 species